rnacentral:rRNA from 1 species
GAUGAACGCUGGCGGCGUGCCUAAUACAUGCAAGUCGAGCGAACAGACGAGGAGCUUGCUCCUCUGACGUUAGCGGCGGACGGGUGAGUAACACGUGGAUAACCUACCUAUAAGACUGGGAUAACUUCGGGAAACCGGAGCUAAUACCGGAUAAUAUAUUGAACCGCAUGGUUCAAUAGUGUAAGACGGUUUUGCUGUCACUUAUAGAUGGAUCCGCGCCGCAUUAGCUAGUUGGUAAGGUAACGGCUUACCAAGGCGACGAUGCGUAGCCGACCUGAGAGGGUGAUCGGCCACACUGGAACUGAGACACGGUCCAGACUCCUACGGGAGGCAGCAGUAGGGAAUCUUCCGCAAUGGGCGAAAGCCUGACGGAGCAACGCCGCGUGAGUGAUGAAGGUCUUCGGAUCGUAAAACUCUGUUAUUAGGGAAGAACAAAUGUGUAAGUAACUAUGCACGUCUUGACGGUACCUAAUCAGAAAGCCACGGCUAACUACGU